UUUUUUUUUUUUUUUUUUUGCAGCAAAAGAGAUACAGAGAGUUGGAACAAAAAUUAAGGGAGACAAAAUACAGUUUCCACAUGAGAAGAUUAAAGGAAUGUCUUCUCAACCUCUUCAUCUGUGAGGGUUGUGGUCUGCAGCAGGUCUGCAUCCUCCUUGUACUUGUACUUCAUCUCAGAGAAGGUCCAUCCAACUAAGGCAUAAAACCCGUCAGUGGUCUGGAGGCUGCAGAUUGACUUCUUCUGGAGUAUGGUAUCCGGAGCCACCUGUAGGUAUGCGUUUAGCUCCUGGAAGUCAUCUAUAUGUUUUGGCUCCAGAGUAAAUGAAUAUAGUUUUCUGAUAUUGCCCAUUUCUGGAUUAUCAGUGAGAGGAACACUUCCCUCUGGAACAUAAUGUUUCCUCUUGACUUUCUCCAAGUACCAGAUGCCAUUGUCUUCUAUGAAGCGGAAGAUGCCUGGAAUCUGGGGUUGAUCCUUCCCAGAAAUCAGCAACAUUGGCAGCCACGUUUGGUAGGGACCGCCACCAAAACCAGCAUCUACUAUGUAGGAACUUCCCUUGAUCACAACCUUCAGUAGGAUGUGAUUUAUUUCAUCAGUGUACGCCUUCUUUGCUGGCUCAUAACUAUUUCCUCCAAGCACACAGAUGUCAUACCCCAUUUCUUUCAAGGCCCAAAAUAAAAGGUAGUUUGUUUCCAUGCACCAUCCACCGCGUUUCUUUUUCACAAUUUUAUUGUAAGUAGCUUGCAAAUCCAGGUCAAUGGUCUCUCCGCAAUGCAUGCUGAGGUUUUCAAAAGGAAUCGCCUGGAUGUGAUGCUGGAAGAUGGCUGUUAAGGUUUGCAAGUCUGCAUCCUUAUGGGAGCCAUCAAAAGAAAUUCUUGAGAAAUACUCUUGAAUGUUCAUUUUACCUGUGUGAGCAGGAAAAUAACCAGUUACUCUUGUGCAGCUCUCAGGGGGUUCGCUCCUAUUUCUGUAGCACAGGUUAACCAGCCUGCAAAUGUAUCUGAGGCUGUUUCACUGAAGAUUGGAAAGGCACCUGUGCCUCUGGUAGGAGAUGAAUAGUCUAGAGCUGCUUUUAUCAUCUUUGUUUCUUAAAGAGUUGAGAAUGGGAGCAGGUAACACUAAAGCUUUAUCUCUCAGGGAUUGUUUUCAGCACAGUUGGGUGUCUGUGCUACAGGAAAACACAGCACAUGGCAUAACAGAAUCUUUGGCCCUGGGUAAAUGUCCACGUGACAAAAAUUUUAGGAAACUGGCAAACAAAGUUUGCCAACAAGCUGUUAGCCUACAGCAGUGUAAGUCACAGCAAUGUUUUACUACUGCUUUUACUGUAACAGUUAAGUAAUUCUUUAUCACACAGAUAAUUUAACAGGGAACUGCUGCAUUCAUGGCUUCAGCUAACCAGGAUUAACUUCUCAGUGUGUCACCAUUUCAGACAAGCUUCCAUGUGAAGUAGAUUGUUGUUUUCUUAAUCUCUUUAGUUUCCCUGUGGAGUUCAGACAGAGCUUUGACUCUGCCUGUUGAAAAGAAGGAAUUGCUAAUUUUUCUAACCUAAUAGCCAGGAGAACUGAUAAUUAUUUCAAAUACCUUCAAGACUCAUCCAGUGGCUUUUGGUUUCUUCUGCUAUCUUUUACAAACCAAAGAAUUCAGCUCAAACUAUCGCAUAUAUUUUGUCUUCAUGUCUCAUCCCCUUUCUCUUUUCAUUAGCAGAAAGAGACUGUAAUUUGUAUUGGCUGCAUGGCAGAGAUGCAAAAGGUUCCCUAUAACGCUUUUAAUCCCCUGACUGAUUUGGUGUCUGUAAGGAUUUGUUUUGCCUUUAAUUUAGAUUUCAUUUGGCUUUUUUUCCAUUCCAAAUAUGUUUUUGUUUUUUUCCCCAGAAUGAUUUAUUACCUGCUAAGGACUGUAUGAAGUUCAAAAAAGGUCUGAAGAUCUUUUUCUUUCCACCCUGAAAUCACUCAUACAUUCCCUGGGAAGGUUUUCCAGCAAUCCUUUGACAUAGAUGACAUGAGAAAGAUGAUCUCCCAGCAACUGUUCUCAGUUUUGGUCCACCUGCUCUCCUAGAAAUGAUCAGCAGCUAGAGCCAAUUUCUGAGACUGCAGGGAGCUUUUGAAAAUCCCACCUCGAACACAUAAGUGAAAAUGCCCUUGUCCUGGAAGGUGAGUGCAUCAGACGACCUUGUCUGUAGACCUUAAGCCCAGCUUUGAAGCCAUCAGCAUAACGCACUUACCUUAGCUGUAUUUCUGCUGAUUUGCACUAGCAUCAAGAUUCAGAGUGUGUGACACAGCAAAAUAUGAUAAAACAGAGUAAUAUCACAAUAAGGGAAUAAGAAAUAAAAAAAUUUAGCUUCAGAAGGACCCAAAGAGGCUACAUGGGGGGGAAAAAAAUUGUAUUUGAUACUGAAUUUUGUGUUCUUUUUUUUUUUUUUUCCAUCUCUUUAGGACAAGAGCACUCAUCUCUGGCAGGAUCUCCUAGGAAACACUGAUUGUACAGAGCCAUGCCACCAAAUAGAUGCAGACAUGCACGCUGCCAAGCCCAUCCUGUCGUUUUCUGCCUCAUUUUUUUUCUCUCUGCUCCCAUUUUCAGCAAUUCUGCGUAGCCAGAUAGAAGCAUCUCUUUCUUAUGAUGGUGUCAAGCUGCACCUUUGUGCCCAGGAGGAGCCCAGUGAGUCCCUUAGCCUGGUGAAUCUCAAACUUAGCAGUGGCUUUCAAGUAAGUGCCCAUCCAUCCCUGCUGUGACCCAAAGCCCUGGUGGUCUCCCUGCAGCCCAUCUCCAGUGCUGGAGCCUGUGGUCUAUGAGCCUUUGGGAGCCUCCAUGGGGCACAGGCAGGGGGGCUUGGGAAACUUGUAGCAAAAGCUUGUGCCACAGCUUCCUUAGCUCCAGACCUCAUCAGUUUUAAGAACUGUGUAAUAGAAACAGAUUAUCUAUUGCUACUAAAAGAUUUAUGUAGGAUAAGGCUGCAGUAUGAAAUCGUCAGUGUUAGUGAAUGUAGGCAGGUAGCAGCCAUGUAAACUGCUGUUUGCUCUCACAGCUUCCUGGAGGCAGAUUUUCUUAUCUGCACGACACCACUGCCCACCACAACAGGGCUGUAACAGUGCAAACCCUUGCCCAGGGAGUGGUAUGUAUCCAAAACCAGAACAAUUCUUCCCUGCUAGAGUUCAAGAGAGACUUCCAAGCUGGACGGAAUUCUGCCUGUACGUGUGUGUGUGAUGCCAUCGCCUCCAUCACGCUGCUUUAAAAGCAAGAGGAAGCCCAUUGCUUUCCAGACUCAAGGAGGAAAAGAGCAGCUGAAAGCCAGGUGUCAGCUCCUGUGCACCUCCUCUGCACGGCUCUGCAGUGCCAGCAGCAAAGAAACCCAACGACUGAACCUAUUAAUGAAAAUCAUACUCCGGAUCACCCUCAUAUGAUGCUUUCCUCUUGAAACCUAUGAGCUUUUCUUUGUUUGUUAAGUUUUAAAGUCACAUUUUAAAAAGUGCUUAUGAUCCACAUAAAGUUGCAUCAUUUAAAAUAAAAGCAUGUCAUAAAGCCCA